rnacentral:misc_RNA from 1 species
GAAGAUAUGGAUGUUGAGAGUAGCUUUGAAUAUGAAGAAAAUAGAGCUAUGGACAAUUCUACAAAUGGUUUGUCUAACAGGGAAGAUGAGUUUGUGAAAGAAGUUGAACAGCUUUUGAGUCCAGAGGAAAGGGAAAUUUUGUAUCACAAUCAAACUCCAGAGCUGGAUAAGAUAUCAACUGAAAAAUGGAACCCUCUUCACACUUUUGCACUAGCAGGGCAGAUACGAUUUAUGGAUAGACUUCUAGAGGAGGGUCUUGAUAUUGAUGUCGUUGACAAGGAAGGGCAAACAGCUCUUCACCAUGCCGUUUUUGGUAAAAAAGAGGCUGUGAUCAGUCAUCUUCUAAGAAAAGGUGCAAACCCUCAAGUCAGGGAUACGGAUGGUGUCACCCCUCUACAUUAUGCAGUUCAAGUAGGAGCCUUGCAAACGGUUAAAAUGUUAAUCAAAUACAAGGUUGAUGUGAAUGCUGCUGAUAAUGUUGGUUGGACGCCACUGCACGUGGCCAUGCAAAGCAGAAACAGAGACAUAGCAAAAGUUCUUCUUGUCAAUGGAGCAGAUAAGUACAGAAAGAAUAAGGAUGGUAAAACACCCCUUGAUAUUAGCCUUUGUUAUGGCAAAGAUUUCAAGUCUUAUGAUCUGGCUAAGUUACUGAAGCUUGUAAAUGCUAAUAGAGAGCUGUGAUUUGCAUUUUUACUCCCAUCAAAGAUGAAGACAAUCAAUCAUAGUCAAAGAGGAAGUUCUUCAACGCGUUGAGACGGAUACAUAGAAACACAAUUCAGAGCAACUUUUGGACAUGGAAUCACUAGAAUUUUAGAAUAUUUGGGCAGUUGUGUAGUCAGUCUUGCAACAGAUUUGUAAAAAUAAAACAGAACUUGUUUUCUUAUGAUAUGUAUGUGCUUGUGUAGAUUUUAGCACAUUAUAUUGUGCUUGCAUCAGGUGAAUAGGCAAGUCAUGUAUUUACGUGGACUUUACCCCUACCUCACGGUAAUGAAGAAAAAA